GACGAACGCUGGCGGCGUGCUUAACACAUGCAAGUCGAACGGAAAGGCCUGCUUUCCCUUGUGGAUUGCGGGUACUCGAGUGGCGAACGGGUGAGUAACACGCGAGUGAUCUGCCCCCAACUUGGGUAUAAGCCUGGGAAACUGGGUCUAAUUCCCGAUAGGACUGCAGGGUGGUGCCUGUGGUGGAAAACGAUUUUCUAGUGGUUGGGGAUGAGCUCGCGGCCUAUCAGCUUGUUGGUGGGGUAAUGGCCUACCAAGGCGGCGACGGGUAGCCGGCCUGAGAGGGUGGACGGCCACAUUGGGACUGAGAUACGGCCCAGACUCCUACGGGAGGCAGCAGUGGGGAAUAUUGCACAAUGGGCGGAAGCCUGAUGCAGCGACGCCGCGUGGGGGAUGACGGCCUUCGGGUGGUAAACUCCUUUCGACCGCGAGGAAGCCACCUGGUUGGAAGGGUGGUGACGGUAGUGGUAGAAGAAGCACCGGCUAACUACGUG
rnacentral:rRNA from 1 species